rnacentral:rRNA from 1 species
UUGGGAAUCUUCGGCAAUGGACGAAAGUCUGACCGAGCAACGCCGCGUGAGUGAAGAAGGUUUUCGGAUCGUAAAACUCUUUUGUUAGAGAAGAACAAGGACGUUAGUAACUGAACGUCCCCUGACGGUAUCUAACCAGAAAGCCACGGCUAACUACGUGCCAGCAGCCGCGGUAAUACGUAGGUGGCAAGCGUUGUCCGGAUUUAUUGGGCGUAAAGCGAGCGCAGGCGGUUUCUUAAGUCUGAUGUGAAAGCCCCCGGCUCAACCGGGGAGGGUCAUUGGAAACUGGGAGACUGGAGUGCAGAAGAGGAGAGUGGAAUUCCAUGUGUAGCGGUGAAAUGCGUAGAUAUAUGGAGGAACACCAGUGGCGAAGGCGGCUCUCUGGUCUGUAACUGACGCUGAGGCUCGAAAGCGUGGGGAGCAAACAGG